rnacentral:tRNA from 1 species
AAAAUUGAGGGGCAUACCCUCUG